GCCUGGUCUAAGUGCAGUGGUGUUUACAACUUAACUGAUCACAACCCGGUACAGAUUAUUCCUUUGGUCCUUCUCUACUCCCACUGCUUCACUUAACUAGCCAUUA
ensembl:misc_RNA Y_RNA Y RNA